AGUGAACGCUGGCGGCAGGCCUAACACAUGCAAGUCGAGCGGCAGCGGGUCCCGCGAGGGGAUGCCGGCGAGCGGCGGACGGGUGAGGAACACAUCGGAAUCUGCCUGGUUGUGGGGGAUAACGUAGGGAAACUUACGCUAAUACCGCAUGCGACCCUGAGUCGACGGACUGGGGGUGAAAGUGAGGGACCUUCGGGCCUCACGCGACCAGAUGAGCCGAUGUCGGAUUAGCUAGUUGGCGGGGUAACGGCCCGCCAAGGCGACGAUCCGUAGCUGGUCUGAGAGGAUGAUCAGCCACACUGGGACUGAGACACGGCCCAGACUCCUACGGGAGGCAGCAGUGGGGAAUCUUGGACAAUGGGCGCAAGCCUGAUCCAGCCAUG
rnacentral:rRNA from 1 species